UUUCUAACGAACUUGGAUACUGUUCACCAAGAACACUUUGCUGUAGCUGGAUCUGGAUUGAGAAUACCAACUGGAACCAUACUACUAGUACCUACUGGAUCUUGAUGAGGAUUACCUAUGAAAUUUUUCUGUCGCCGGAUCUAGGUUGCCACUGGAACUCAUUUCUCUCUGGAAUUGGGUCAGAAUUACUGACAGAAACUGCAUUUCCCUUUCAAUGGAUCUGGAACGGGAGUAGUGCCAUUACAGUUCCCUGUUGGUGGAUCUUCGUCGAGAAAGUCUCAACAUCAUUAGGAAGAGAAAAGUCUGGACCCAUUUAUGUCGAUAGACAAGACGAGUGGAAAAUGAACCACAGAAAAAAAAAAAUUAAAGAACACGCAUAGUUAGGACCAUUGUUUUCGUACAACGAACGAGUGAAAGAAAACGAAGAAAGUUAGCAAGAAUCCCUGACAACUCUUUGCGAAAGUGGAACUGUUGCUAGGCCACGUUUGUAAACAACUGACCCGAUACUGCCACCAGGCACCAGAGGAGUUCGGCGGAUACCUACAGACCGUGGAAGCGGGAGACAAGUGCUGGAUUGCUCGACGUGUAAGUGUGGUACUGGUAGACGGAUAAGCCGCUUCAGGGAGCUACUUCUUCUUCUCUACAUUAGAAUCAGAUGACAACUGCACACUCUAUGGCGCCGGUACAGGACCCGCUCUCUUGGACGCUUUCUUCAGCUCCUCUGACAUACCCUCUCCUAGUACCCUGGAAGAAGUGGCAUUUUCGAAACCAACUUACUGCUCUUCUUCAUACAAUGCGUAUGUAAAGGAAUUGGCUGUCGACGGUGUGAUACAGACCUCCAGUAUGUUCCAUUCUUAUCCUGGUUUGCAAUUCGCAUGGUGGAUGGUUGACCUUCAGGCAGAGCGGACCAUUCACCAAAUACAGCUCUUCAUGAGGCCUGACUGUUGUUACGAGAGGUUCGUUGAUGUUGAGGUUCGCGUUGGCACAGUACUGAAGACAGACGGGGAUUUUACCGCCUAUACGCUGUUCGCGCCCUACAAAGGGCCGUAUGCUAUUGACCGAGGCUACCUUCUCUGCUCCCAUUACUACGGCAUCACUGGAAGAUACGUCAGUAUCAAGAAGAUAGGCGCUGACACCAACCCUCUUCAGCUGGCUGAAGUUCGCGUUUUCGCAAGGAUAGUCUAGUUUGAAAAGACUUUCCAGGCCCCUUGCUUCGUAGAAUGGAAAGUCUAUGUUUAUGAGGCUUUUAGUGUUAAGAACCCAUUUCUUUGUAGUCUAAAAAGUCUUUCUACGUCCCUUGCUUUGUAGAAUGGAAAGUCUAAAAGACUUUCAACAAGAGACCCUUUCUUUGCAGAACGUAAAGUCUAAAAGACUUUCAACAUGAAACCCUUUCUUUGUAGAAUGAAAAGUCUAAAAGACUUCCCAAAUCAAGAACCUCAUUGUUUAAAAUCAUACUUUUCAGUAAGAUUAUGGUUUCAGCUUUCUUUUUUUAUUAGUCUUCAGACAUGUUUAUCUACUUAUAAGUAAGCAUGCAAUGUUUUGAGUUUAGUCCAGGUACUUUUCUUUAACUUGGAGAGAGAGAGAGAGAGAGAGAGAGAGAGAGAGAGAGAGGAGAGAGAGAGAGAGAGAACACAAUUAAUUUACUGCUCUGAAAGUUUGCAAGCUGUUUAUUUUCCUCAGAAGCUGCCCAGAAAAUUGAUUCGUGUAUUUAGGUGCACAACUCGAUCUAAUCGUAAUCAUAUUCUGUUUACUGUUUAAUUUUUACCUAACACUAAAAACUGGAAUCAACAUUAUGCUCUCAGGACGCUGCAAACGAUGCUCCACUGAUCAUAGUUUUUGUAAAAAUUCUGCAGAGCUGAUUGCCUGAUUUCAGUCUAUUAUGUAACAAAAUCACAACCACUCAACCUUCCGGAAAAUGAAGUCAUGUAUCCUGUAUUUACUGUCACAAUUUUAUAAACCAGUGUCGCUACAAGAUGUCACAAACGAUAGUUUAGCAGGAAGUGACUUCUUGGGUGACUGAUAACAAAAUUCUGUUGACGACUGUACUUGAAAGCACUUUCGUGGCUGACUGUGCUUGCUUUUGUUCAAAACUGUACUUGAAUAGACUAACCGAUGAGAGACAAGUCUUGACCCUGGCUAUGCAAAUUUUCGAUAUUCAUUACACCAUACGAAGAAGCCUAUACGAAGGUUUAAAUCUAAAUGCUGAUACCAAGUGAGCUUCUUUCGGGUGGAUAGUAAUGCAGAAAUAGACAAGAAAGUUUCAGUGGAAUUAAAAAGACUAAAAAUCACAUCUGUGUGCAGAGCUAACAGCGGAAGCCAGAGUAUGAUAACGACUUCGCUUAUUGAUAAAAAGU